AUUGAACGCUGGCGGCAGGCCUAACACAUGCAAGUCGAGCGUGAAAGUUCUUCGGAAUGAGUAAAGCGGCGGACGGGUGAGUAACGCGUAGGAAUCUGCCCUGAAGUGGGGGAUAACUUGGGGAAACUCAAGCUAAUACCGCAUAGACCUAAGGGUGAAAGAUGGGGAUCUUCGGACCUAUCGCUUCAGGAGGAGCCUGCGUCGGAUUAGCUAGUUGGUAGGGUAAAGGCCUACCAAGGCGACGAUCCGUAGCUGGGCUGAGAGGAUGACCGGCCACACUGGGACUGAGACACGGCACAGACGCCUACGGGAGGCAGCAGUGGGGAAUGGUUCGCAAUGGGCGCAAGCCUGACGACGCAACGCCGCGUGGAGGAUGAAGGUCUUCGGAUUGUAAACUCCUGUUGAUCGGGACGAAUGUCUCCCGGCCUAACACGCCGGGGGAGUGACGGUACCGGUAAAGAAAGCCCCGGCUAACUUCGUGCCAGCCGCCGCCGUAACAC
rnacentral:rRNA from 1 species